AUGGCGCAGCAUAAGCGUGCAGUUUCCACCCUCGUUCUUCUCCUCCUCCUCCUGUUCUUCUCGGCGUCGACGAAUGCCACACGGCCACCAGCAACGCUCCGCAUCCCCGUCGUCCACCGCGACGCGGUCUUCCCGCCGCCGCCGGGCGCCAGCCGGGGUAGCCUCCUAAGCCGCCGCGCGGCUGCCGACGCCGCACGCUACGCGGCCCUCAAGGCGUCCCUCUGCCUCCGCCGCUCCUCCGCGCACGACGACCGCCUCCACUCCCCGGUCAUGUCCGGGCUCCCCUUCGACAGCGGCGAGUACUUCGCGUCCAUCGGCGUGGGCACCCCGUCCACCACCGCGCUGCUGGUCAUCGACACCGGCAGCGACCUCAUCUGGCUCCAGUGCAAGCCCUGCCGCCGCUGCCACCGCCAGAUGAGCCUGCUCUACGACCCCAAGGACUCCAGCACCUACCGCCAGAUCCCCUGCUCGUCGCCGCGGUGCUUCCCUCGCCAGGGCUGCGACAGCAGCACCGGGGCCUGCGGGUACACCAUGGUCUACGGCGACGGCUCCGGCAGCAGGGGCAACCUCGCCACCGACAGGCUCGUCUUCUCCAACGACACGUCCGUGGACAGCAUCGUCAUCGGGUGCGGCCACGACAACGAGGAGCUGUUCGACUCGUCGGCCGGGGUGCUGGGCGUCGGCCGCGGCACCGGCUCCCUGGCGACGCAGGUGGCGCCGACCUACGGGCGCUACUUCGCCUACUGCCUCGGCGACCGCACGUCCGUCGCGCGGAGCAGCGCCUCCUACCUCGCCUUCGGCCGCACGCCGGAGCCGCCGUCCACGGCCUUCACCCCGCUGCUGUCCAACCCGCGGCGCCCCAACCUGUACUACGUGAACAUGGCCGGGUUCAGCGUCGGCGGCGAGCGUGUCGCCGGCGGGUUCUGCAGCUCCGGCCUCUGGCUCGACCCGGCGAACGGGCGGGGCGGCGUGGUGGUGGACUCGGGCACGUCCAUAUCGCGGCUCCCCAGGGACGCGUACGCGGCGCUGCGCGACGCCUUCGACGCGCGCGCGGCCGCGGCCGGGAUGCGGAGGCUGGCCCGGGGCAUCUCGGUGUUCGACGCGUGCUACGAGCUCCGAGGCGCCAGCGUGCCGGCAGUGACGCUGCACUUUGCCGGCGGGGCGGACGUGGCGCUGCCCCCGGAGAACUACUUCAUACCCGAGCAGGGCGGGAGGUACCACUGCCUGGCGCUGGAGGCGACGGACGACGGGCUCAGCGUGGUCGGCAACGUCCUGCAGCAGGGGUUCCGGGUCGUGUUUGACGUCGAGAAGGAGCGUGUCGGGUUCGCGCCAAAUGGCUGCUAA
rnacentral:rRNA from 1 species